CUGGCGCGACGUAAGAGAUAUACAAUAUACGUUAUUUCUACCACAAGCUGUUAGGAGAGAGAAACGAAAAACGCGAUUCGAGGACCUUUUCAGAACCUCAAGGACUUUCAGGACCACUGGACACCACGUUGACGCGACGAGACGAUAUUUUGUAGAGAAGAGUAAGCGGGCAUCGGCAGCCUGCGAUGCGAUGUGCGAACUACAAGAUUUCUAGUCACGAGAAGAAGACCGCUUGACGUAAAUGGAAGUCCGUCAGUCUGCAUUUGAAUGAAGUUGUACAACGUUGAACGAUCGCUAAUAAAUUCCCCAGGGACGAUAUGUAUACCAACCAA